rnacentral:lncRNA from 1 species
UUUUAGUAAUUUAUAGUCGUUUUUAAAAAUUUAAAAUAUAACAUAUACAGAAAAAUCUCUUCACUUUGAUCGAAAUUAAGGAGAAACCAAUUCAAGAAGACCUUUAAUAGCAAGAUCUUUAUGCCAUUGAGCACAUUAACACCAAGAUUACACUUCAUAGAGCCAUAGAUGGAAGGGAUCCUAUUUUCAAUUUUGGAUCAUUAAUCAUGAAACUAAAACUAAUGUGAAACGGGUUAAAUAAAUCAAUUUUGACUAUCAUAUAGUUAUAUCUAUACAAUACUAAAAAUAUAUAAAAUAAAUAUAUAUCAUAUAGAAAAUAAAGGUUAUCUUAAUUUCCUGACAGAACUGAAUAACCUGAAUGCUUUUAAAUUAUUUUAAAUUAUCUGAUUUUUAUUCAAAAUAUCUAAAAAUGUGAUUUUAGUCGAAUUAUUUGAAAUUAUCAGGAACGAAACGAUAACCGAAUUGAACUCUAAAUUUUUCAAGUUUCUAACAUUGUUAUCCAG